rnacentral:rRNA from 1 species
AGAGUUUGAUCCUGGCUCAGAACGAACGCUGGCGGCAGGCUUAACACAUGCAAGUCGAACGACAUAGUGGCAGACGGGUGAGUAACGCGUGGGAACGUGCCCUUCACUACGGAAUAGCUUCUGGAAACGGAAGGUAAUACCGUAUACGCCCUUCGGGGGAAAGAUUUAUCGGUGAAGGAUCGGCCCGCGUUAGAUUAGAUAGUUGGUGGGGUAAUGGCCUACCAAGUCUACGAUCUAUAGCUGGUCUGAGAGGAUGAUCAGCCACACUGGGACUGAGACACGGCCCAGACUCCUACGGGAGGCAGCAGUGGGGAAUCUUGCACAAUGGGCGAAAGCCUGAUGCAGCCAUGCCGCGUGAAUGAUGAAGGCCUUAGGGUUGUAAAAUUCUUUCGCCAGGGAUGAUAAUGACAGUACCUGGUAAAGAAGCCCCGGCUAACUUCGUGCCAGCAGCCGCGGUAAUACGAAGGGGGCUAGCGUUGUUCGGAAUUACUGGGCGUAAAGCGCGCGUAGGCGGGCUGUUAAGUCAGAUGUGAAAGCCCGGGGCUCAACCCCGGAACUGCAUUUGAAACUGGCAGCCUAGAGACCAGGAGAGGUUAGCGGAAUACCGAGUGUAGAGGUGAAAUUCGUAGAUAUUCGGUGGAACACCAGUGGCGAAGGCGGCUAACUGGACUGGUACUGACGCUGAGGCGCGAAAGUGUGGGGAGCAAACAGGAUUAGAUACCCUGGUAGUCCACACCGUAAACGAUGAAUGCUAGUUGUCUGCGCGCAUGCGUGCAGUGACGCAGCUAACGCAUUAAGCAU